CAGCCGCCGCGGGAAAACGUAGGUGGCAAGCGUUGUCCGGAAUUAUUGGGCGUAAAGGGCUCGCAGGCGGUUUCUUAAGUCUGAUAUGAAAGCCCCCGGCUCAACCGGGGAGGGUCAUUGGAAACUGGGAAACUUGAGUGCAGAAGAGGAGAGUGGAAUUCCACGUGUAGCGGUGAAAUGCGUAGAGAUGUGGAGGAACACCAGUGGCGAAGGCGACUCUCUGGUCUGUAACUGACGCUGAGGAGCGAAAGCGUGGGGAGCGAACAGGAUUAGAUACCCCCGUAGUCCCUGUCUCUUAUAC
rnacentral:rRNA from 1 species